rnacentral:misc_RNA from 1 species
GAUGAAGAACGCAGCGAAAUGCGAUAAGGAGUGUGAAUUGCAGAAUUCAGUGAAUCAUCGAAUCUUUGAACGCACAUUGCGCCCUUUGGUAUUCCUUAGGGCAUGCCUGUUCGAGCGUCAUUUGAAACCUCAAGCUCAGCUUGGUGUUGGGUGUCUGUCCCCGCCUCCGCGGGGACUCGCCUCAAAAUCAUUGGCGGCCGGUACGUUGGCUUCGAGCGCAGCAGAAACGCGAACUCGAGGCCCGGCGGAUCGGCGACCAGAAGUCUCUUCUUCACAGUUUGCCCUCGGAUCAGGUAGGGAUACCCGCUGAACUUAAGCAUAUCAAUAAGCGGAGGA